rnacentral:rRNA from 1 species
AUUGAACGCUGGCGGCAGGCCUAACACACGCAAGUCGAACGGUAGCACAGAGAGCUUGCUCUCGGGUGACGAGUGGCGGACGGGUGAGUAAUGUCUGGGAAACUGCCUGAUGGAGGGGGAUAACUACUGGAAACGGUAGCUAAUACCGCAUAACGUCGCAAGAACAACGAGGGGGACCUUCGGGCCUCUUGCCAUCAGAUGCGCCCAGAUGUGAUUAGCGAGUAGGUGGGGUAACGGCUCACCUAGGCGACGAUCCCUAGCUGGUCUGAGAGGAUGACCAGCCACACUGGAACUGAGACACGGUCCAGACUCCUACGGGAGGCAGCAGUGGGGAAUAUUGCACAAUGGGCGCAAGCCUGAUGCAGCCAUGCCGCGUGUAUGAAGAAGGCCUUCGGGUUGUAAAGUACUUUCAGCGGGGAGGAAGGCGAUACGGUUAAUAACCGUGUUGAUUGACGUUACCCGCAGAAGAAGCACCGGCUAACUCCGUGCCAGCCGCCGCGUAA